AUGAUGAAAUUGAGUACAUGUUUAUCUUAGUAAGCUCAACAUUUUCUUUUAGAAUAGCUCAUCACAACCAUUAGAUGAGAUCCAAUUUCUGCAGAAGUCAUCCCGCUGUUUGCUUCAUUUUAUUCUUCACCUUUAUAUUUUGAACAUUUGUCUUGCAGCCAGUUCUCUUUCUUCAUGGUGGUCUAGGUGGUGGAACUUCUCCUAGUAAUAGGAAAUUUUUCUAUCCUGAGUUUUACAGAAUAAUCCUCUUUGAUCAGAGAGGUGCUAGCAAGAGCACACCUCAUGCUUGUCUGGAGGGAAAUACAACAUGGGAUCUCAUUGCAGACAUAAAAAAGCUUCGUGAGCACUUGGAAGUUCCUGAAUGGCAGGUGUUUGGCGGCUCGUGGGGAAGUACUUUGGCGCUUGCAUACAGUCAGUCACACCCUGAUAAGGUCACCGGCCUGAUACUUAGAGGGAUUUUUCUCUUACAGAAGAAAGAAAUUGAUUGUAUCUAUGAAAGGGGUGCUGCUGCUAUAUUUCCGGAUGGUAUGUUCUUUUGCUAUUCAGAUAUUAUCUGUAAUUGUUUUUGGUUACGGGUGAUUGCCAAAUAUGGUUUGAGAGGUCAUUGAUAUCCCCUGAGAAAACCUUCGUGCCAUGUUCAUUUUAAAACCAGCAUGCCACCAAAG